AGGGCAGUAUCCCAAGCGAACUGCACCGGCAAGGCCACACGAAGCAAUUGAAUAGUUCUGCCUUGAUCUGAAAAUGACAGGGACGGAGAA
rfam:Planomicrobium glaciei strain CGMCC 1.6846 genome assembly, contig: Ga0070170_101